AGAGUUUGAUCAUGGCUCAGAACGAACGCUGGCGGCAUGCCUAACACAUGCAAGUCGAACGAGACCUUCGGGUCUAGUGGCGCACGGGUGCGUAACGCGUGGGAAUCUGCCCUUGGGUACGGAAUAACAGUUAGAAAUGACUGCUAAUACCGUAUAAUGACUUCGGUCCAAAGAUUUAUCGCCCAGGGAUGAGCCCGCGUAGGAUUAGCUUGUUGGUGAGGUAAGAGCUCACCAAGGCGACGAUCCUUAGCUGGUCUGAGAGGAUGAUCAGCCACACUGGGACUGAGACACGGCCCAGACUCCUACGGGAGGCAGCAGUGGGGAAUAUUGGACAAUGGGCGAAAGCCUGAUCCAGCAAUGCCGCGUGAGUGAUGAAGGCCUUAGGGUUGUAAAGCUCUUUUACCCGGGAAGAUAAUGACUGUACCGGGAGAAUAAGCUCCGGCUAACUCCGUGCCAGCAGCCGCGGUAAUACGGAGGGAGCUAGCGUUGUUCGGAAUUACUGGGCGUAAAGCGCGCGUAGGCGGCUUUGCAAGUUAGAGGUGAAAGCCCGGGGCUCAACCCCGGAACUGCCUUUAAAACUGCAUCGCUUGAAUCCGGGAGAGGUGAGUGGAAUUCCGAGUGUAGAGGUGAAAUUCGUAGAUAUUCGGAAGAACACCAGUGGCGAAGGCGGCUCACUGGACCGGUAUUGACGCUGAUGUGCGAAAGCGUGGGGAGCAAACAGGAUUAGAUACCCCCGUAGUCC
rnacentral:rRNA from 1 species